rnacentral:rRNA from 1 species
UACGUAGGGGGCAAGCGUUGUCCGGAUUUAUUGGGCGUAAAGAGCGUGUAGGCGGCCACACAGGUCUGCUGUGAAAACUCGAGGCUCAACCUCGAGCUGUCGGUGGAAACCGUGUGGCUAGAGUCCGGAAGAGGAGAGUGGAAUUCCCGGUGUAGCGGUGAAAUGCGUAGAGAUUUGGAGGAACACCAGUGGCGAAGGCGACUUUCUGGUCUGUAACUGACGCUGAGGCGCGAAAGCGUGGGGAGCAAACAGG